rnacentral:tRNA from 1 species
GUCCCCGUAACUCAGUGGAUAGAGUGACAGCCUCCGAAGCUGUUGGCCAGAGGUUCAAAUCCUCUCGGGGGCG